rfam:Gossypium arboreum cultivar AKA8401 contig_1702_7, whole genome shotgun sequence.
AACCCAUGGUGAGGACACCUUCUCAGUAAGUCCUUGUAUCUCUCCCAUGCAUCGUCGAGGGUCUCUAAAUCCAUCUGCACAAAAGAAGAGAUGUUAGUACGUAAUUU